GAGCCAUUUGACACCUGACCAGAAAUCAUAUCUUCAUUCUAGCAACUUCUUGCAUUUCAAGAAAGGUUGUGCAGGAGAACUUGUAAUGUUUUGCACUUUCAGAAGUAAAAUUAUUCAUAGCCCAGAACACAUACAACAAGUCUGCUCCAGAACCAGGACAUGGGAACAACUGAUCCAAACUACAGGAAAAGAUAUUCCACCUAAACACUAGGAAGAACUUCCUGAUGUUGUGUUGGUGCUAGGUGCCUUCCACUGCAAGCUUGUCCAGUGAUACUCUCUGAAGAAAGAACACAUGGCUUCACACUGCAGCUGGGAAUCAAUUAGAUUGGAUUUGGUGGCAUCAGCAAUGGAAGUUUUGCAAGAAUAAAAUCCCGGACUUGGUAGCUCAGCCACUGGGUAACCUUGAACAUGUCACACUCUCUCAGCCUCAAACAAAGGCAAUGGCAAACCUGCUCUGAAAUAAUCUUGUCCAGAAAACUCUACAAUAAAUAGGGUUGCCCAUGUCAGAGUCUACUUGAAGGAGCAUAACAGCAAUGAUUCUAGAUGACUGCAAAAUUAAAAAACAAAAAUUGGAAAUAAUUUGUCCAGCAUUACCUUCUGAUAUAUAGCCAUCUUAGUCUGUAGAAUCAGUAUGUAGAGAGCUCUGGUAGUACCUUUG